AAGGCUACUGAGACCAUGUGACCUGUGGGCUUCCCUUUGUCAUCCUAUGCCUGGAGAUCACAGUGAGGCAGGGACAGCAAAGGGAUGCUCAGCUGUCGUCUCUUCCAUCGGCCAGCCA
rnacentral:pre_miRNA from 10 species